rnacentral:lncRNA from 1 species
CUUACCCAGAGGCCCUGGGGACAGGGUCUCGGGCUAUAGUUGGUCUCUGUUUCUUCCUGUCACAUCCACACCCCACCUGGUGGGCUCUGGGAUCCCAAAGCAGGGCCUCAAAGCCCCGCUGCUGAUGUGGCAGGGUUGUGCCAGGUCACAGAAAGUCACAUGCUGUGAUUCAGGCACAUGACGACAUCCCAUGCUUCCUGCCCCAAGACCUGGCUUCAUCAUGGACGGACCUAUGAGGAUGGUUCCAGCCUCUCCACUCAGGCAGGUUCAAGAAAAGGUCGCUGGCGCUUUAACUUUGCCCUGCCCACCAUUAACGCAGGCAGACCUGGUGCUAAUCAGUUAACUCUGACCCCUCCCAAAGCCUUGGAUGGGAGCAAG